UGGGGAAUAUUGGACAAUGGGGGGAACCCUGAUCCAGCCAUGCCGCGUGUGUGAAGAAGGCCUUAUGGUUGUAAAGCACUUUAAGCGAGGAGGAGGGUACUGGUAUUAAUACUACCAGGUACUGGACGUUACUCGCAGAAUAAGCACCGGCUAACUCUGUGCCAGCAGCCGCGGUAAUACAGAGGGUGCGAGCGUUAAUCGGAUUUACUGGGCGUAAAGCGUGCGUAGGCGGCUAAUUGAGUCGGAUGUGAAAUCCCCGAGCUUAACUUGGGAAGUGCAUUCGAUACUGGUUAGCUAGAGUGUGGGAGAGGAUGGUAGAAUGCCAGGUGUAGCGGUGAAAUGCGUAGAGAUCUGGAGGAAUACCGAUGGCGAAGGCAGCCAUCUGGCCUAACACUGACGCUGAGGUACGAAAGCAUGGGGAGCAAACAGG
rnacentral:rRNA from 1 species